ACGGGGUGCAGGCGCGAAAACUUUACAAUGCGGGAAACCGUGAUAAGGGAACUCCGAGUGCCCGUAAAAUCGGGCUGUCCAUCUGUCUAAAUAACAGGUGAAGAAAGGGCCGGGCAAGACCGGUGCCAGCCGCCGCGGUAAUACCGGCGGCUCGAGUGGUGGCCACUAUUACUGGGCUUAAAGCGUUCGUAGCUGGUCUGUUAAGUCUCUGGGGAAAUCUACUGGCUUAACCAAUAGGCGUCUCAGGGAUACUGGCAGACUAGGGACCGGGAGAGGUGAGRGGUACUCCAGGGGUAGGAGUGAAAUCCUGUAAUCCUUGGGGGACCACCUGUGGCGAAGGCGYCUCACCAGAACGGCUCCGACAGUGAGGGACGAAAGCUGGGGGAGCAAACCGGAUUAGAUACCCGGGUAGUCCCAGCUGUAAACGAUGCGCGUUAGGUGUAUCGGUGACCACGAGUCACCGAGGUGCCGAAGAGAAAUCGUGAAACGUGCCGCCUGGGAAGUACG
rnacentral:rRNA from 1 species